rnacentral:misc_RNA from 1 species
UUUCGCUACUCUCCUUCCUUGGCUGCAGUUUGGUGACAGCCCUCGUAUCACCACACUGCCGCCGACUGACCAUCCUUCUCCCCCCUCCCUCCCUGAGCCCCUCCUUUCCCUAGCUUUAGAUCUCCUGCUCCUGUGUCCUCUGCAUAGUCUCGUGUGUCCAUCUCCCAUUUCGCAUCACACGGAUACGCGCCACGGCACGGAUAAGGUGUAGCGCAUCGUCGCGGUCUUCGACCCCUGCCAUUCCACAGCGCUUCUUCCCAAUAAAGGAAAGCCGCUGCAGCAGCACCGUCGGCCCCUAGCACUGUCCAGUGCCUUCUGCCCGAAUGCAAACCUACACGCCCACGUCAGCUUUCAUUCACCAUCAUCUUGCGUCUCAGCAUCCCUCAACGUGCUUCUACCGGUGCUCCUUGUACAGGGUCUACACCACAAGUGGAACAGGAGAGCGUGGCGCGCCCACCCGCCGAGUCGUACGGGCAUACACGCCAUUGAAAAACUCUCGGUGCUUCUGUAUGAUAGCACAGUAUGCCAACUAGUUUCCGACACUACGAACCGGAGGAGCGGGGCGGGUACGCGCCCAGCGCGAGCAACAACGGUGCCGAGUUUGGCGGUUCCGAAACAAGGUACUCGACCAAGACGCGUUCAAUCAACGCCGCUGCGUCGAGAACUGGUACGGGCCGUGCGGGUGUGCCGGCGCAGCAGCUGCAGCGCUUCGAUGCCUUGCUGCGUCUUCCGGAAAAUCGCGAGUGCUUCGACUGUGGUACGAAGCAGCCGCGUUGGGCGAGCACCAACCUUGGUAUUUUCUUCUGCCUCCGCUGCGCCGGUAUCCACCGCUCUAUGGGCACGCACGUAUCGAAAGUGAAGUCGGUAAACAUGGAUGCCUGGGUGGAGUCUAUGAUGCUCGUGGUAGAGCACAUCGGCAACGCGCGAGGACGACUCUUGUACGAGUACAACAUGCCACCGUCGGCACGCGUGACCAACACGACCGAAACCGCCGUGGUCGAGCGCGUGAUUCGCUCCAAGUAUGAGCGGAAGUUGUACUACCACCCCCGCUUUGCAGAGCUCGUUGCACAAUUUAUGGAGACCCCGAUGGAGGCGGCAAGCAGCAGCGGGACCACCACUUUAGCGUCUUCUCCGGGAUCGAACGCGCCACCGUGCCAAGCUGGCGAGCCGGGGCAGACGCAGCCGCAGGGCGCCGUGCUCGAGGAGCUCUGGGGCGCGCCCGUGUCUUCACCCAACACGAAUCAACCGAGUCAGGAAGCGACGCAGGGGGCGACGGGGGCCCGCACAAACGUUGCGGAGCUCUUCUCCGCCUAUCCGACUCAUGGCGCCGGUAUGGGCUAUGCGGCGGCUGGAGGCGGUGCCCACUCGCCGCCUACGGCGUGGGGGGAAACGGCGGGGCCGCUGUCGUCGGCGCCACCGGUGAGCGCAAACAACGACUCGGGCUGGUUCGAAUCGCAGUUUGGUGGGGCGGCAAGCAUUGUACUCGGCCCCGCCAGCGGCGGCGCUCACAGCGGGGCGCCGUUGCCGAACACACUGCAGUCGGCGUCGAGCCCGCAGACAGCGCACGAUAACACAGGCGACCUGUUCACCGGCGGCAACGAGAGCGCGGGCUGCAGCAAAGACGAGAUUCUCUCUCUCUUCCGCACCGCACCCGUCGCUGGGGCGUAUGGGCAGACGAGCAGCGGUUCUACGGCAAACACGGGCGGGCAUCCGUUGGCGUGGUAGUCACAGACGGUGAAGCCGCGCUACCCCGAGUAAGAGAAGGGCUUCAUCACAUCUCGUGGGAGAAAACGAGACAGGCAACGAAAAAGGCGGCCGCUGCACGCAUCCACGGGGUUCCAUCUGGCUUGUCUGUGUGUACGCAUGCGCGUUUAUGUGUGUGAGGUCGUGCGGUAGUGCAAUCAAGCAGAGAGCGAGAGGGCAGAGAGAGGGCGAUGGCGCCUCUUUCUCACAUAUACAGACACAUACAUCUGAGUUUGGUUUUCUCAUUUUACGGUUGCUUUUGAUGACCGUUCCAUGUACCGAUCCGGAUCUCUCUCUCUCUGCGCUUCGCUUGUUGCUCGUCUCUCUCUUUCUUUGAGGUUGAGCUUGCGUUCCGCGACGUGGGCACGUGUCCCGGCGCUUUUUGCGUGCUUCCCUAUCCGUCUCUCAUCAUCACUAUGCGUGUUGGGCUAAGCGCUGCGUUGCGUCAGCUGGGAAAGGAGCACAUACGCUCUUCCCCCAUCUUUGCGUUUUUGCUUAUAUGUGUGUGUGUGUGCGUGUGCGCUCCUCUCCGUGCGCGCUCUCUCACGUGCUCUCUUAUGCCAAACUUCUGCAGAGGGCACGGGGUCGUCAGUGAUGUCCUGCAGGCACAGGCUCCUUCCUCCUCCACUCUUGUUUUCGUUCCAAGUCCUACGUUCCACGUGCGUGCGUGUGCGUGUGCGUGUGCGCAGCUGCUCUUUGCUCCUGCCAACGUGUAUGUAGAAGGCGGGUGUGCAUGUCCGUGAGUGUGAAUGCGAUGCUGUGCUGUCUAUGCCGGUUGCCGAUGUGGACGAUUCGGCUUCGUCUCCUCUUGCGCGCCUCCUCUCCGCCCUCCCUCUUUCGUCCGUUAGUUUGCGCUCGCUGCUCGUGGUAGUUGUCAGCAUCGUCGUCUCGGUUGAUGGUUCGGCCCAUCGCGUGGUUCUUAACGCGUUGGCGAAGCGAAACGAAACGCAUCGUUGCUCUUGUUUUGUGUUCUCGCUUCCACUAUGUGCUCCAUCUCCAUCUCCGCCCUCCUUCUGUGUGUGCCUGUUUCCGUGUGUGUGUGUGUGUAUGUGUGUGUGUGUGUAUGUGUGUGAUUGCGUGUGCGUCUCUACGUAUGCCAUUCUCGCUCGCUCCUUCUUUUCCCCUCUUCUGCCACGUCUCUUCGUGGAACGCGACCACACCGAGCACCCACCCCGUCUUCUGCCUUUCUUCCGUGCUUUCUCUCCCUGCCUCCAGCCACUGCCUUCACAGUGGUGUCUCUCUUCCUCUUUGUGUGCACGCUCAUUGUGUAGCCGUUGUUGUGUGCCCUGUACUCCUCGCAUCUCCUCCGCUGCAGUCGUCGACACCCAUUCUCUCUCUCUACCUGUUCCGCUCUUCUCUUACGUUUACAUCAUUAUGGUACCGUGAAAAG